AGAGCCCUGACCUGCCACGGUCGCUGCACGUGGUAGACAAGGGGUCCCGGCACGUCCGUCUGGCCUGGGAAGUACCUCAGGACGGUAACUCCCCCAUCACCAAGUACACCCUCCGCUACACACGUCUGGGAGACUGGCAGCAACAGACACUUCAAGCGCACAACAACAGCAGCAGCAGCCCCAGGAGGAGGAGGUGGCUGUAGGGGGACAUGUGAAGGAGGUGAUGGUGGAGACUCUCAUCCCAGCCACUCAGUAUCUUUUCACUCUCUACGCCCACAAUGCCAUGGGUCCCUCCAAACCCUCUGAGGCGCUGCAGGUGACUACAGAAGGAGAAGCCCCUGAGGUCCCCCACGUGAGGUAGAGGUCACGGCCCUAUCCUCCACCUCCCUUAAGGUCUCCUGGGCGCCCCCCGACCCCUCUGUCAGACACGGCAGGAUUCUCGCUUACUACAUCGGCUACGGGAACACAGGCACGUCCAGUGACCAAUACAAGAUCGUGACGGUGGAGGCGGACACUUGGCUCUCCUCAUCAUCCAGCUCAUCAUCGUCAUCAUCAUCAUCGUCUUCAUCAUCGUCAGUAUCCUUGUCGUCGCCUACAUCAUCAUCUUCAUCGUCAUCGUCGUCUACAGGAGGGUGUUGCUCGGCCGUGGUGACUGAACUCUCGCCCUACACGGAGUAUGUGUUAGAGGUUCAGGCUGUCAAUGCACAAGGGGCAGGUCCGUCUGCCAUCCCAGUCACCGCCACAACACUUGAAGAUGUCCCUUCGGCGGCGCCCACGGCAAGGUGCGCCCAUGACCGCCCGCAGUGUGCUAGUAUCGUGGGACAUCCUCACUCCCGCCCACGCCCGCGGACACCUACUAGGUUAUCGGGUUCUGUACGCCCCCGCUGACAGAGUCACAGAGCUGAGUGGGGAGACGACGUCAUCGUUGAGUGCGCCGCUGCGGGGGUUACGACCCUACACCAACUACUCCCUGCAGGUGGUGGGAUUCACGAGGGUGGGAGAGGGACCACCGAGUGACCCAGUCUUCUGUACCACCGAGGAGGACGUACCAGGCCCCCCAUCAGGAGUGAAGGCGGCAGUGGCAGGGUCGGGAAGAUUGGUGGUGUCAUGGCUACCACCCGCUAACAGUAAUGGCCGUCUCCUGACCUACACCAUCACCAUCAGGGGCAGAGACGUGCAGGAAGUUCGUGGUCAGAGCACCUACGACAAAACAUCAGGUGAGCGUAGGUGGGGGCGGUCCAGUGAGGGUGAUGGUAGCUGCUUCGACGAGGAUAGGUGAAGGGACGCCAUCCACCCCCGUCACAGUCAACCCUUCUAAUACAGUAGCGGCGAAGGUGGUGUCGUGGGGAGGGGUGACGGAGGUGCACUGGGAGGAGGACGUGAGCCUGCGGUGUGAGGCUGUGGGUGAACCUCCUCCCUCACGCUCCUGGUACAGGGACAACACCCUCAUCAACGACGCCUCCCAAAGAGUGUCGAGCUAUCCUGACGGGACGCUGGUACUGAGACGUCCAGAGGAAAGACUCCUAACUACACCUGCAGGGUGGCCAAUACCCACGGCGAAGACCACAUCACCUACCUCCUCACCGUCCAGGUUCCACCCUACCCGCCCCACAUCCACGUGACGAGGACGGGAGCCACCACGCUGACGGUGGCCUGGAGGACGGGUGACGACAGGGGCGCCUCUCCUGGGCCUGACGGUAUCGUACAGAAAGGACUACGGCGAAUGGCAGGAAGAGACGGUUCCUCCUACCCAAACCUCUCAUGAACUUCGAGGUCUGUCCUGCGGCAACAAU